rnacentral:lncRNA from 1 species
AUUUUGUUAAAUUAUAUAAAAAAAACUUCAGAUAUCCUAUCAAGAUUUAUCGAAUAUUCAUUUUAAUAUCCUUUAAUUUUAACUUUGUUACUAAUUUAACGAAAAAAAUUAGUAAAAUAAAUAAUAAAAAAAAUGAAACCACAUGGUACUAACUUGGUACACUUUAAACCACAGGCAAGGUACUAAAGUGAGAAAGUGCAAAACCACAGAGGCUAACUUGAUACACUUUAAACCACAAGGUACUAAAGCGAGAAAGUGUGAAACCACAGAAAAAGUAUUUGAAGUGUACCCUUUAUUUUUUAACCGAUUGCAAAUUUUAC